GCCCGGAUGGCGGAACUGGCAGACGCGCCGGACUCAAAAUCCGGUUCUCGUAAGAGAGUGGGAGUUCAACCCUCCCUCUGGGCACCA
rnacentral:tRNA from 2 species